CCUACGGGGAGCAGCAGUGAGGAAUAUUGGUCAAUGGACGAGAGUCUGAACCAGCCAAGUAGCGUGAAGGAUGACUGCCCUAUGGGUUGUACACUUCUUUUAUAUGGGAAUAAAAUGUUCCACGUGUGGGAUUUUGUAUGUACCAUAUGAAUAAGGAUCGGCUAACUCCGUGCCAGCAGCCGCGGUAAUACGGAGGAUCCGAGCGUUAUCCGGAUUUAUUGGGUUUAAAGGGAGCGUAGGUGGAUUGUUAAGUCAGUUGUGAAAGUUUGGGGCUCAACCGUAAAAUUGCAGUUGAAACUGGCAGUCUUGAGUACAGUAGAGGUGGGCGGAAUUCGUGGUGUAGCGGUGAAAUGCUUAGAGAUCACGAAGAACUCCGAUUGCGAAGGCAGCUCACUGGACUGCAACUGACACUGAGGCUCGAAAGUGUGGGGAUCAAACAGGAUUAGAUACCCCUGUAGUC
rnacentral:rRNA from 1 species